rnacentral:rRNA from 1 species
UACGGAGGGGGCUAGCGUCAUUCGGAAUUACUGGGCGUAAAGCGCACGUAGGCGGAUUGGAAAGUCAGAGGUGAAAUCCCAGAGCUCAACUUUGGAACUGCCUUUGAAACUCCCAGUCUUGAGGUCGAGAGAGGUGAGUGGAAUUCCGAGUGUAGAGGUGAAAUUCGUAGAUAUUCGGAGGAACACCAGUGGCGAAGGCGGCUCACUGGCUCGAUACUGACGCUGAGGUGCGAAAGCGUGGGGAGCAAACAGG